rnacentral:rRNA from 1 species
AUUGAACGCUGGCGGCAUGCCUAACACAUGCAAGUCGAACGAGUGGCGGACGGGUGAGUAAUGUCUGGGAAACGGCCUGAUGGAUGGGGAUAACUACUGGAAACGGUAGCUAAUACCGCAUACCAUCGGAUGUGCCCAGAUGGGAUUAGCUAGUAGGUGGGGUAAAGGCGUACCUAGGCGACGAUCCCUAGCUGGUCUGAGAGGAUGACAAGCCACACUGGAACGGAGGCACGGUACAGACUCCUCUGGGAGGCAGAAGGGGGGAAUAUUGAAAAAUGGGAGCAAGCCUGAUAAAGCCAUGCCGAGUGUAUGAAGAAGGCUUUCGGGUUGUAAAGUACUUUAAGCGUGUAGGCGUUACCCGCAGAAGAAGCACCGGCUAACUCCGUGCCAGCAGCCGCGGUAAUUC